GGAAACUUUCUUCCAUGGGAAUGGAAAGUCUCGGACAGGCUCAUAUUGGUUGGGUAUGCUCUUUCCAUAGGCGACUUUCCAGAAGGUCUUCAAGGUGGAUAUGCUCUUCUUCGAUGGUCUCCAACCGGCACUGAAAUUGGCCCUGCAUUGGGGGUGCCCCUCCCCGGUCUCAAGAACUCGAGAGGUCUUAACUUAAUAGGUACUGGUAGCCGAUUCGUAUUGUAUAGCUGCUGGGAAGCAUCAAGAUCGAUCAAUGUCCUGAUUGCAAGGCAUUAA
rnacentral:lncRNA from 1 species